CAGGAACCAUCUGGUUCCGUGCGUCCUUAACGCUGAGGCCCCUCGCCUGCAGCUGGAGGCAGCUCUCUGCUCAGGCUGCAGUGCAGAGUGACACAGGCGAGCGACAUCGUCACUGAGCACUAACUUCUGUGACAGGAGGCAGACAGUGAAAACCAUUUCAGAACCGCGGCACGGCGUGAGAGAGGCGAAGGAGCCCAACCUCAUCAGCAUCUUUCCUUCAGGCAAACUGACAAUACAGGAUCUAGUCAAUGACUCAAGUGGAUUCAACUAUCUAAGAGGUGUGACAGCAACUUUGAGGAUGUGCAGAUAUCCAGUUUAUUACACAUUCAAUAAAAUAUUUUUCCCACCCUGCUUCAUCUCCAUCAGAUUCUUCUGGCACCAAUGGCUCUUUCUUAAAACACUUCUGUGGGUUUGUAC
rnacentral:lncRNA from 1 species